AUAAUAAUAAUAAUAAUAAUGAUCAUGUUGCAUUUGGAGAGUUGGAGUUUCCUCCUUGGUUAAGUGCAAAUAAUGAUGAGAGUUUGUUGCAACAACAUUUGGAUGAUUCUUGCUCCGAGGAUACUACUUUGCCAUGGAUGGAUAUUGGAGAUAUUGAUGGAAUGGAUGAUGACUGGUUAUCAUAACACUAUUUUAGCAGUCUGAUUUUGCUCCUUCCCAAUACAAUCAACUUCUUGCAACAUAAACCAUAGAUGAGGAGGUCAUGGGUAAAAAUGGAAAUGAAAUACUUGUAUUCUAGUUUUUUUUUUUCAGAAAUGGAUUAAUUAGUAGGCAAUGGUAGACAACCAACCUCCUUUGAUUUGUCAUUUUCAUCCCUUCCUUUCCUUUGGUUUAUUAAAAUAAAAGGUUUUCUUUGAUGAUUUUA